GCUGGGCAUGGUGGCUCAUGCCUGUAAUCCCAGCAAUUUGGGAGGCCGAGGCAGGCGGAUCACCUGAGGUCAGGAGUUUGAGACAAGCCUGGCCAACAUGGUGAAAUCCUGUCUCUA
rnacentral:SRP_RNA from 1 species